AACAUGAUAACACGAAAGAAAAUAUCAUCAUUAUAUAGAACCUUAAAAUCCACUUCUGCGUCAGUGUUAUUUAACCAAGGCAGCUCCUCCGACAGCCUGCUGGGUCCUGUUUCUGCUCCACCGCCAGCUCCAAAUAUUCCAACCCUGUCUUCCACACCUACCUGCUGCUCCCGGACUUGCCUCCAGUCCCUGCAAUAUUCCUCAUUUCCUAUCUGACCUGUGAUUUGAUCUGGAAGACACAAAGGUUGAAUGCCAUACUGUGAAACCUUCCAGACAAAGCAAAGACAUCUCCAUGAAGAAAAGCAUUUGACAGACCCUCCACCAGAAAAAUUACACAAUGCACCUUUAAAUAAAAAACAAAGGCAGUUCAAAAAUGUAGCACAAAAUUAUGAAUCACCCUACUUUCCCCUUACUUUCACCUGCCUGUUGAUGGUCAUAUACUGUACAAUUCGUUGGAGUAUUUGUACAGUCCUUUGCUGUAAAAAUGCUUAGAUCUCCCAAAGUAAGGAGCAGAGAGGCCAGAGGCAGAAGCAGGGCAGUGGGCCUCUUCACACAGCUCCACAUGCUCAGCACCUUAGGGACCCUGCAAGGAUAAAAAUAAGACUCAUGAAUUUAGUUAUCUACUCUCACGUCCGGGGCUCUACUGGGAGUGUGAUAAAAAACCAAUGCAAUUUUCCCAAAACAUGCUGUGAAAAAAGGUGAAUAGUCAUACAAUAGUCAUAAAAAGGGCUUGAGAGGAGCAGAGAAAAGCCCAGGGACAUUUUAUAGCAGCAUUAAUCAGCCCAAUUACAGUGGCUUGGCUUCAACAUGGAGUCAUAGGGGAAAAAAGAUUAUUACAAUUUAAGUUCUUUUGUGAACUAUAGUAGAAAUAAGAGUGAGGCAAAUACUCAGCUCUUCUUCAUCGUCACAGUUUAAUACAGCGUUUAACACAGCCACCACAUCCCUACAGACACUGCACUGAUUCGUCUGUCAAUCUCACUCUCCAUCCUUCCCUCAUUCAUGAACAAGACCCCGAGAUAGUUAAACUCCUCCUCUAGAGGCAGGGACUCUCCACCAUAGACUGUGCAUAGUGGACACAAGCCCCGGGGUUUCAAAAUAGUCGCCCAUGCAAGUCAAUGGGCCGAGCUCAAGGGCGCAUCUCUCCAGAUUAGUCAAACCCGGCGAGGUACUUCGGGUGGCUGUGGGCCAAUUGAGCAUGCGCAGUAGUGCUCUUUUCUAGUGUUUUUUUUUUUUUUUUUAAGACAACUGAAGGGUUUUGAGCUGAGAAAAAGUUUAUGAUCUAAAAACAGGUAAAAAUGAAUACAAAAUCCAACAUUUUUUUGAAAGUUGUAGGUGCCUUGUCAGCCGAACACGAGCAGUUUAUGAUUACAGUGUGCUCUAUAAAAAAAAUCUCUCUCUCAGCCCAUGGGAUUUUUUCCUGAACUAACAUUGAGUGUCCAUUACAUCAACUGGAAGCAGCUACAAGCAGCAAUACCCUAUCCUUUUAUUUUAAUAGAGUGAGUCAUGUGUGGACAUAGCUAACCUGCUAGCUGGAAGUGAGCAUGGGAGCGCUUCUGGCUCCAUCGACUCCUUGUGUUUUUAUUUCGCUAUUUUGUCCGUGAAUAAAUUCCUAUUCCUAAUAUGGAACCCGGCUUCGAA